ACUCCGGGAGAUGGUGAUGGACAGGGAGGCCUGGCGUGCUGCGAUUCCUGAGGUCACACAGAGUCGGACAUGGCUGAGCGACUGAACUGAACUGAACUGAAAGACCUGAGAGAUAUAUGAAAUGCAAGAUACAUGAGAGAGAGAUUGGGAUGAAGACUGGACCACAAUGUAACUCAUUUAGGAAAAUGAUAACCAGGGCUGAUCCUAAUGGCCUUCUGUAAGAGCUGGGUCAGGAAGCCCUUCCCAACUUCUAUUGGCAGCAACAGCUUCUUGUUUUAGAUUUUCAGAGGGCCUUUGAGAUGUAACUUCAUCUGCUAUCUUUUUUUAAAAAAAUUAAUUAAUUUUAAUUGGAGGCUAAUUACUUUACAGUAUUGUAGUGNNNNNNNNNNNNGUCUCAGAAAAUCGAGGGGUCGAGCCUUGAGAACACUUGACUUCCUGCACCUCUCAGUCACCUCCAGGUACAGGGGCUUUGGUUGCUUUCUUUCUUCUGGGUCCUACCUAGCUUCCAUUGCCCUAAAGCGAAGAGAAUCUGAUCUACACUGGAAUAGGCGUGGCACUGAGAGUAACAACCUACACAGGAAUGUGUGCUUCAGGUAGCAUUCUGCAUUUCUCUUCAUCAGUUUCUUCGUAUACACACAGGGCCUAAAUGAUUCCCACCUUGGCCUCUAUGCUCCUCUGUUAUGGAUCCUGUGUUACUUAUAUUCCUAAGUCCUAUUUUAACCCCUCCCUGCUAUAAUUUUCAGGGUCUUUUCUCUCUUUUUCUGUUCCUGUUUUGCGUGGUACCCUGCCACUUCCAAUUUCUAGAACCAAAUUCUUUUGUCAAGAACCUGUAAUUUCUUCCAAAGCCUUCUCUGCAUUGACNNNGUGUCCAGAUGAAAUCUUUAUAUAUAUGACAUAUGUGUAAAGGACUGAUAAAUCGAAAUAGCAGUCAAGACUUUUGGCGUUAUUUCACCUGAGCCAUUAUUUAUCUGAAAAAAUAAUCUGAUGAGAUCAUCUUAUAACAAAUAUUUAUUUGGCAAACCAUUUUAUAGAAAUAGACCCUAAAAAUCAAACUGUUUCUUAUUUAAACAAUGCACAGUAUCAUCCCAGUCUUUCCCCCAUCCAAAGUCUACUCCAUAACUGAAGUACCAAAAACCCAUGAUCUGUACUGCUAAAAAGGAAGGUGGGGGAAAAACAUUAAACUUCCACAGGAAGACUGUAUAAAUCUGGCAGUGGUUAAGUACACAUCAGCCUGUACCCAAGAGUACUAUCGAACCUGAAAAAUUAACUGAAAAUCUAAAUUUACUCUUAAUAUAUGUAUUUGCUCUU
rnacentral:lncRNA from 1 species